AUGAUCGCCCUGCUUCUCUUAGCGCCGGCGUGCGUGCUCUUCUUCCUGCGCGCCGCGUGCAGCAGCAGCGACAGCGAGGUCAAGGAAGAGAAUGAGGUCGAGGAUCGCUCUGAGAUCUUCCCGUGGCCCCUGAUCUGGCCGGUGCAAGGGUUCAUCACCGUGGCGACGUUGGCGGCACCCAUCGCCUUCGUUCUUCAGAUGUGUGGAUUUCGAGAGGCUUCUUACUUAAUCUGCGUCGCGGCUGUGUUGUGCUCGGUCCUACUCCUCGCCCUCUUCUACAUCGCUGCUGCCGUGGCGAUCUGGAGGAUGAGUCCUCAACAGCGCAGCAUCGCUGGCAUGCUCAGGAUGAGUCUCAGGCUAGCGACUAACAAGGUGGCGGAGUAG
rnacentral:rRNA from 1 species